rnacentral:rRNA from 1 species
GGUGUGCACCGAUUGGCUCCCCCCUACUGCCGGCGAUGCGCUCCUGGCCUUAAUUGGCCGGGUCGUGCCUCCCGCGCUGUUACUUUGAAAAAAUUAGAGUGCUCAAAGCACCCCUACUCUCUGAAUACUUUAACGGGGGAUAACCUCAUAAGAUUCCUAUCCUAUUGUGUUGCCCUUCGAGAUCAGAAUAAUGAUUAACGGGGACAGUCGGGGGCUUUCAUAUUUCAUACUCAGAGGUAAAAUUCUUGGAUUUAUAAAACAAAAACAACUGCAAAAGCUUUUGCCAGGGAUGUUUUCUUUAAUCAAAAACAAAUUUUGGGGGCUCAAACAAUAUCAUAUACCGUCCUACUCUCACCCAUAAAAGAUGCCGACCAGGGAUCAGCGGAUGUUGCUUUUAGGAGUCUGCUGGCACCCUUUGAGAAAUAAAAAUUUUUGGGUUCUGGGGGGAGUAUGGUGGCAAGGGUGAAAAUUAAAGGAAAUGAGGGAAGGGCACCCCCCCGAGUGGAGCGCGCGGGUUAAUUUGACUCUACACGGGGAAAAUUACCAGGUCCAGACAUAGUAAGGAUUGACAGAGUGAGAGAUCUUUUUUGAGAUUAUGGGUGGUGGGGCAUGGCCGUUCUUAGAGGUGGAGCGAUUUGUUGGGUUAAUUCCGUUAACGAACGAGACCUCAUCAUCCUAACAAGUAAUGUGGAGGUACACCUCCUCGGCCAGCAGCUUGAGGGAGGAAGGC